rnacentral:rRNA from 1 species
UACGAAGGGGCUAGCGUUGCUCGGAAUCACUGGGCGUAAAGGGUGCGUAGGCGGCCUGACAAGUCUGAUGUGAAAUCCCUGGGCUCAACCCAGGGCCUGCAUCGGAAACUGUCGGGCUUGAGUAUGGGAGAGGUGAGUGGAACUGCGAGUGUAGAGGUGAAAUUCGUAGAUAUUCGCAAGAACACCAGUGGCGAAGGCGGCUCACUGGCCCAUUACUGACGCUGAGGCACGGAAAGCGUGGGGAGCAAACAGG